UGGUCCAUUGCAGUUGUGCGAAUAGUACUGAUAAUGAUAAAGAAAACUUGAAUUUAGAAGUUGAUGAUUCCUAUCUUGGGAACGUAUACUUGAAUUAUGUUGGUAUUUACUUUUUGAAUGAAUUUAUUUAGACUCACGAAAUUGUAUUGAAUUAAUUUUGUGUAACAUUUUUUUGUACAGAAUGGAUUAUAUAUACUAUGCACG
rnacentral:lncRNA from 1 species